CCGCGUGGUGGGAGCCUCUUUCUCCCUCUCAUCCUCCUUAGGGCCCUGUUGCAAGGCCUAACCUGUGUGUGCGAUGCCGGCAUCUGACUCAGGACCCGGAAUAGGAGCGAGGGAGAGAGAAGAUGGCUGACUUGAACUCCACCUCAAUUACCUGCUGAAGAAGGAAAAUCCUUACUUGAGCUUGUGCUUGAACAAUUUGAAGACUUAUUAGUUAGAAUCUUAUUGUUGGCAGCAUGUAUAUCUUUUGUAAGUAUAAAAUGAUUUUCAGACUUUUCACACAUUGAGCAAAUGAGAAUUGUGUGUUAUAUAAAAAAAAUAAAAAUGUUGAACAGGGUUAUUCCUUAAACUAUUUUGCUUACACUAGUUCUACUUAUGAUGUGGAAAAAUUAAUUGCAUGCUAACUUUUCAAUUGGUUAUUCUGCAAAGGUGAACUUUGGCGUGUUUUAGACAUUAACGUGCCAUAUUCACUUCAUGUAUGGUAUAUAAUUUGUCUUUUAAUUCAAUUUUUCAAUCAAGCCAGACACACCGAGACUUGGGAAAAGCAUAUAUAUUGGGUUUUUAAAAAAAAUAUUUUUAUACAUAUUUGGGAAACUCCAUCACCUUUUUGUUGUUGACUUCUAAAACCAAACUUGAUUAGGAGUUUAACUAAAACAAAAUACAGGACUAUGUAGCACUUUAAAGACUAACAAGAUGGUUUAUUA